rnacentral:rRNA from 1 species
UGGGGAAUAUUGGACAAUGGGGGAAACCCUGAUCCAGCCAUGCCGCGUGAGUGAUGAAGGCCUUAGGGUUGUAAAGCUCUUUUACCAGGGAAGAUGAUGACGGUACCCGGAGAAUAAGCACCGGCUAACUUCGUGCCAGCAGCCGCGGUAAUACGAAGGGUGCUAGCGUUGUUCGGAAUUACUGGGCGUAAAGCGCGCGUAGGUGGCUUACCAAGUCAGGGGUGAAAUCCCACGGCUCAACCGUGGAAUUGCCUUUGAAACUGGUAAGCUAGAGUGUCGGAGGGGAUAGCGGAAUUCCUAAUGUAGAGGUGAAAUUCGUAGAUAUUAGGAGGAACACCGGUGGCGAAGGCGGCUAUCUGGACGACAACUGACACUUAGGCGCGAAAGCGUGGGUAUCAAACAG